UACGUAGGGUGCAAGCGUUAAUCGGAAUUACUGGGCGUAAAGCGUGCGCAGGCGGUUUUGUAAGUCUGAUGUGAAAUCCCCGGGCUCAACCUGGGAAUUGCAUUGGAGACUGCAAGGCUAGAAUCUGGCAGAGGGGGGUAGAAUUCCACGUGUGAGCAGUGAAAUGCGUAGAGAUGUGGAGGAACACCGAUGGCGAAGGCAGCCCCCUGGGCCUGCACUGACGCUCAUGCACGAAAGCGUGGGGAGCAAACAGG
rnacentral:rRNA from 1 species